rnacentral:rRNA from 1 species
CGCGGUUAGACGAAGAGUGUAAAUUAAGAAAUUUGGUUAAAAUUAUUAUUUUUAUUUAUAAGUAUUUUAAUUAAAUAAUUAUUUUAAGGUAAAAUUUAAUUAUUUUUAUGAUUAGAAGAGUUAUAAUUUGAUGAAAUAUAAAUGCAUAUUAUAAACUAGGAUUAGAUACCCUAUUAUUUAUGAAGUGAAGUUAAAUCUUGAGUAGUAGAAUUUUUUAAAACUCAAAGAAUUUGGCGGUAUUUUAUCAGUUUAGAGGAACCUGUUCAAUAAUUGAUAGUCCACAUUAUAUCUUACAUUGAUUUGUUAUCAGUUUGUAUACCUCCGUUGUCAGAAAGGUUUUGAAAAAUUCUUUUGAAAGUAAUUGAUUUAAGUACUUCAGGUCAAGGUGCAGCUAAUAUUAAUGAUGAAAUGGGUUACAAUUAAGUCAAUAAUGGUGUGGUAUUUGAAAAGUGCCGUGAAAUUGGAUUUAUGAGUAAUUCUGUUUAAGGAAAACAAGAUGAAUUUUGCUCUGGGAUGUGCACACAUCGCCCGUCGCUCUCUUGUAACAUAAGAGAUAAGUCGUAA